UUGGUUAAGCUAAUAAGAGCGCAGGGUGGAUGCCUUGGCACUAAGAGCCGAUGAAAGACGUGAUAAGCUGCGAAAAGCUUCGGGGAGGAGCAAAUAUCCUUUGAUCCGGAGAUAUCUGAAUGGGGAAACCCACUUGAGAAGACCUCAAGUAUCCAUACGCCAAUCCAUAACGUAUGGAAGGGAACCCGCUGAACUGAAACAUCUAAGUAGGCGGAGGAGAAGAAAGAAACAUCGAUUUCCUGAGUAGCGGCGAGCGAAAGGGAAAGAGCCCAAACCAGAGUGCGUGCACUCUGGGGUUAAGGACUGCAUACGUGAGCCGAUUUGUUAAUGGAAUGGUCCUGGAAAGACCAGCCAGAGAGGGUGAAAGCCCCGUACAUGAAAACAAUAGGCAGCAGCAGGAUCCAGAGUACCGCGAGACACGAGAAACCUUGCGGGAAGUCGGGGGGACCACCCCCCAAGGCUAAAUACUCCUUAGUGACCGAUAGCGCAUAGUACUGUGAAGGAAAGGUGAAAAGGACCCCGGGAGGGGAGUGAAAAAGAACCUGAAACCCUGUGUUUACAAGCUGUGGAAGCACGUUAAGGUGCGACCGCGUACUUUUUGUAGAACGGUCCGGCGAGUUGCGGAUGCUGGCAAGGUUAAGCACUUAAGGUGCGGAGCCGAAGAGAAAUCAAGUCUUAAUAGGGCGUCAAGUCAGCAUGUGCAGACCCGAAACCGGGUGACCUAUCCAUGUCCAGGUUGAAGUUCCCGUAAAAGGGAAUGGAGGACCGAACGCACAUCCGUUGAAAAGGGUGGCGAUGAGGUGUGGAUAGGGGAGAAAUUCCAAUCGAACCCGGAGAUAGCUGGUUCUCCUCGAAAUAGCUUUAGGGCUAGCCUCGUAUUAGUCUGCUGGAGGUAGAGCACUGAAUUUCCUAGGGGGCGUCAAAGUCUACCGAAGAAUAUCAAACUCCGAAUGCCAGACAGAUGAUGUACGGGAGUCAGACUGCACGAGAUAAGUUGGGUAGUCAAAAGGGAAAGAGCCCAGACCUACAGCUAAGGUCCCAAAGUGUGUGUUAAGUGGAAAAGGAUGUGGGAUUUCAAAGACAACUAGGAUGUUGGCUCAGAAGCAGCCACACAUUCAAAGAGUGCGUAAUAGCUCACUAGUCGAGAGGUCCUGCGCCGAAAAUGUCCGGGGCUAAAACACAACACCGAAGCUUAGGAAUCAUAUUAAUAUGAUUGGUAGAGGAGCAUUCUAUACGGAGCGAAGCAGUACCGGCAAGGAGCUGUGGACUGUAUAGAAGAGAGAAUGCCGGAAUGAGUAGCGAGAUGGAGGUGGGAAUCCUCCAGGCCGAAUAUCUAAGGUUUCCAGAGUAAAGCUGAUCUGCUCUGGGUAAGUCGGGGCCUAAGGCGAGGCUGAAAAGCGUAGUCGAUGGACAACAGGUUGAAAUUCCUGUACUGCAUAUCAUCAGAACUGUGGGGACACAGAACCGAAGUCAAACCCGGGAAUGAAAAGACCGGGGCAAGCGUAGGACUGGUUAGGCUGGCAAAUCCGCUUAACAACAGGAGGACGUGACGCGUAGCGAACAUUAGUAGCGAAGUUGGCGUAGGGGCUGUCAAGAAAAGCCGCUAUUGCGUGAUAUGUACCCGUACCGUAAACCGACACAGGUGGAUGAGGAGAGAAUCCUAAGGCCGGCGGGAGAAGCAUUGUUAAGGAACUCGGCAAAAUGACCCUGUAACUUCGGGAUAAAGGGUGCCCACGAGAGUGGGCCGCAGAGAAUAGGCUCAAGCAACUGUUUAGCAAAAACACAGGUCUAUGCAAAACCGUAAGGUGAGGUAUAUGGGCUGACGCCUGCCCGGUGCUGGAAGGUUACGAGGAGAGGUUAGCGCAAGCGAAGCUUUGAA
rnacentral:rRNA from 1 species